rnacentral:rRNA from 1 species
UAGGGAAUCUUCGGCAAUGGACGAAAGUCUGACCGAGCAACGCCGCGUGAGUGAAGAAGGUUUUCGGAUCGUAAAACUCUGUUGUUAGAGAAGAACAAGGACGUUAGUAACUGAACGUCCCCUGACGGUAUCUAACCAGAAAGCCACGGCUAACUACGUGCCAGCAGCCGCGGUAAUACGUAGGUGGCAAGCGUUGUCCGGAUUUAUUGGGCGUAAAGCGAGCGCAGGCGGUUUCUUAAGUCUGAUGUGAAAGCCCCCGGCUCAACCGGGGAGGGUCAUUGGAAACUGGGAGGCUUGAGUGCAGAAGAGGAGGGUGGAAUUCCAUGUGUAGCGGUGAAAUGCGUAGAUAUAUGGAGGAACACCAGUGGCGAAGGCGGCUCUCUGGUCUGUAACUGACGCUGAGGCUCGAAAGCGUGGGGAGCAAACAGG